GACGAACGCUGGCGGCGUGCUUAACACAUGCAAGUCGAACGGAAAGGCCCUGCUUUUGUGGGGUGCUCGAGUGGCGAACGGGUGAGUAACACGCGAGUAACCUGCCCUUGACUUUGGGAUAACUUCAGGGAACUGGGGCUAAUAUCGGAUAGGAGCUCCUGCUGCAUGUUGGGGGUUGGAAAGUUUCGGCGGUUGGGGAUGGACUCGCGGGUUAUCAGCUUGUUGGUGUGGUAGUGGCUUACCAAGGCUUUGACGGGUAGCCGGCCUGAGCGGGUGGCCGGCCACAAUGGGACUGAGAUACGGCCCAGACUCCUACGGGACGCAGCAGUGGGGAAUAUUGCAGAAUGAGCGGAAGCCUGAUGCAGCAACGCCGCGUGCGGAAUGACGGCCUUCGGGUUGUGAACCGCUUUGGCCUGUGACGAAGCGUGAGUGACGGUAAUGGGUAAAGAAGCACCGGCUAACUACGUG
rnacentral:rRNA from 1 species